GAUUUCAGAGGAGAGCCUGCCUGGCCAAUAGUCGGCGGCUUGAGGCGGGGUCCCGGUGUUGCGUGUUCCGGUGCAUCCUCAGACUGUGUGUCGGUGCUGGGAGGUUCGCGGAGCUCUGGGACGGGACGGCGGCGGCACACUGCAUCCCCCUCCUCCGGCAGAGGCAAAUGAGAAGGAAAGGGUUGUUCCGCAUGGCGAGGGGCUAGCGGCUGUUCCCCAACCUGACGGAGAGCGGGGAGGCUAGUGACUGGCACAGCGGAGGAAGCAGCCAGCAUGGACCAAGUGGAGAUCUUACGGACUUUCAUUGAGAAGGUGCAGUCCAUGAAUAACAAGGACCAGAACGGGGAGGACAACUUCGCGUGUGACUUCAUGAGAUUAAGGCGGCUGUCCACGAAAUACAGAACAGAGAAGAUAUACCCAACAAUCACUGGAGAAAAAGAAGAAAAUGUCAAAAAGAACAGAUAUAAAGACAUUCUGCCAUUUGACCACAGUAGAGUUAAACUUGCACUGAAAAUUCCAUCUUAUGAAUCUGACUACAUCAAUGCAAAUUUUAUUAAGGGUGUUCUCGGUCCCAAAGCAUACAUAGCAACCCAGGGGCCAUUAGCUAACACAGUAAUAGAUUUCUGGAGAAUGAUUUGGGAAUAUCAGGUCAAGAUAAUUGUGAUGGCUUGUCGUGAGUUUGAGAUGGGAAGGAAAAAAUGUGAGCGGUAUUAUCCAAAUUUUGGAGAACAAGCUUUAACUUUUGGACCAUUUCAUAUUUCUUGUGAGGACGAGCAGUCAAGAAAAGAUUUCUUUGUCCGAAUACUUUCAGUGGAGUUCCAGAAUGAAACGCGUAGAAUUCAUCAGUUUCAUUAUGUAAACUGGCCGGAUCAUGAUGUCCCAUCUUCUUUUGACUCUAUUCUUGACAUGAUUAGUUUAAUGCGGGAUUAUCAGGCUCAUGAGGAGGUUCCUUUAUGUAUACACUGCAGUGCAGGAUGUGGAAGAACAGGAGCCAUUUGUGCAAUAGAUUAUACCUGGAAUCUGCUGAAAGCUGGUAGGAUACCUGAAGAGUUUAAUGUAUUCAGCUUAAUUCAAGAAAUGAGGACACAGAGGCAUUCAGCAGUACAAACUAAGGAACAGUAUGAGUUAGUACACCGUGCUAUAGCUCAGCUGUUUUUGAAGCAGCUGGAAGUAUAUGAGAACGAGUCGAGAGAGACUGUGGAUGACAUGGAUGAAAAUUCUGAAAAUGCAGUGAAUUCCUUAGAGAAUGACAAAAUGGAUUCUCCACCACCAAAGCCACCAAGAAUCCGUAGUUGCCUUGUAGAAGGAGAUGUCAAAGAAGAAAUCUUGCAGCCACCAGAGCCUCAUCCUGUGCCACCAAUUCUGACUCCCUCUCCUCCAUCUGCCUACCCAGCUGUGAUGACAGUGUGGCAAGACAGUGACCGUUAUCAUCCAAAGCCUGUGUUGCACGUUGUAUCCUCAGAAAACACGACAGACCUGAAUGAGAACUAUAACAAAUCGAGUGAUGUAAUGGAGAAAGGAGAGCCCACUGUUGAGAAGAAGCUAGAACGUAAGCUAAGCAUAGAAAUAAAGAAAGUACCUCUUCAAGAAUGUCCAAAAAGUUUUGAAACUACUGCAGGCCUCCAAAGGGGACUUGGCUUUAAAAUCAAAUCCGCUUCAUCUUAUGCAGUUGACCAAUUGCCUAAAACUCAAGUGUCUAGUUCUUUGGAGUCACUGUCAUUAAUAUCAUCAUCUAAUCUUGGUGAUGACUCUAGAAGUUCAAGAUCUACUAAAUCUUUAGAAGAUGUGCCACUGGAGAGACGCUUGGAUCCCCCAGCAAGACCAGACCAUCUUCCACUAGAGAGAGGACUUACAGUUUCUGCUACUUCGGGAAAAGAGCAUACGGAGUAUAAAAAUGAGUCUUCCUCUUCUGAUAAACAUUUAGAUGUGUGUCAUUUUGAUAGCAAAACUUUAAUAAAUAGCAGUCUUCUGGCUUCCCAAACAGGGAGUCAUACUGACCUCAACAACACUCCUGCACUUCAGGCACCCUUAUCUUUUACCAAUCCUCUUCACUCUGAUGACUCUGACAUAGAGGAGGGAAAUUCAUAUGGGUCCAUGGAAAAAAACCUGUCUACUGUAUCAACCACAAGUGCCACUGUUUCUGCAGCAUCUGAACACCCAUCAACUAGAAAAGUGUUGCCCAUGUCAAUUGCCAGGCAUGACCCUUCUAUGAAGCGCCCAUGUUCUGAAAAAGGUAAUCUGUCUGAUACUACUCCAGAGACUCUGCAGGGAAUGAGCAUGGGUGCAAAAGAACAAAUUAUGGCUCAACAGAUCAGUGCAGCUGAUGGUUUUAGUGAAAAAUCAGGAACCUCACCAUCACAGUGCACAUGAUGGCUACCAAAUCUCUGAAGAGGAAGAAAUGAUUGCCUUUUCAAUGGACAUUGAUUGAGCCUGCAGAUGGAGGAGAUGAAAUGCUACUCAUAAGUUACAAGAUCGUACCAUAAAAAGUGCUACUACUAGGACAGUAUUCCAUGAUCAUCACAUUUACUCUAUGGCAAGCAGGUAUAUAUAUUUGACAAAAUUGCAGUCAUAAAAUAUUAACAGAAGAUGUAAGAAAUCUCAGCAUGAUAUUAACUUGUUCUUUAUACAGAAUGUAAAUUAUUGGCCCUGAUGUUUUUAGUUGUUUUUUUUUUUUUUUUUAAAUCAUUCUAGCUGGAUAAAAAGACCAGCAUUGCAGGUUAACCAAUAAGAUUGUAAUACAGUUUGUAAAUUGUAAGCUAAAGGUUAUUUUUAUAAUAUACAUUGUUUCAUUGUCAGCUUAUUUUGUCUUGUAUUUAUUUGACUGUAGGUCAUGAAGCAAAAACAGAAUUAUGGUUAUGAACAUUUAUAGCAUUCAAUAUCAUUGACACAGGCACUGACAUACAGACUUAUCGCCAUGAUUUUAGCUAAAAUUGUCCUUAACUUUUCAAGUUCUGUAAGUAAAGUAUGCACCCAGUGUGGGCAGCAAUAGAACAUAAUGCAUAUUUGAUGUGGAAAGCUUCAAUAGUGCCUUGGUCAGCAUCUUCCAAAAAAUGAAUGGGGAUAGAAAGUAUAAGAUGCAAUUCACUUAGCAUUUUGGGCAUAUAUUUCAAAAUAAAUAUGGAGAUACCGAUAAUUGUAUUUGAAACCCCUUCCUCUCCAUUCCCAGUGUAUUAUAAAGAACACAGAGUAGAAAGGAAAAGUGAUCACCGAAUGACCAUACCAGAACGAAAAACCAAAAGGUGGGUAUUAUGGGUGCUGUCAUGGAGACUUCCAGGAAAUACAAUUAUCGGUGAGUAUAAUUCACCAUUUCCCAAGUUGUCUCCAUGACAGCACCCGGAGAUAAUACCAAAGAAUAGUAUUCAGGGUGGGACCACAGCACUCAAGACCUUGCGUCCGAACGCCAUAUCCUGAUUAGAAAGAACAUCUAAUCUAUAAUGCUUGGAAAAACUUAUGUACAUUUUUCCAAGUGGCUACAUGACAAAUCUGCUCCACAGAAGCAGAUGCUCUCUCUGUCCAUAAGGAAGAGACUGCACGGGUAGAAUGAGCCUUUAAUUCAAGAGGGGGAUUUUUUUCCCUUUCCCAAAUAGGCGUCUGAGAUGGCCAAUAGAACUCUUGGAAGCCUUUUUCCCUUUUGUUAGGACCUGCAAAUUGGGGAAAAGGGUUUUGGUCUUUCCUCCAGGGAUGGGAGGAUUCAACAUAUUGUAACACUGCUCUCCUUACAUCUAAACAGUUGAACGAUCUUUCUUGAUCAUUCUUAGGAGCUGAGCAGAAGGAAGGAAUAACAAUAUCCUGGGAUCUAUGAAAUGAUGAUCAUCCCUGACCAUAAAAAAAGGCUGUAAAGUAGAGAGAGCCUGAAUCUCACUGACUCUACGUGCAGAUGUUAUUGCUACCAAACAUAC